GGAAAGUNUUUUCGGUUGGGGAUGGGCUCGCGGCCUAUCAGUUUGUUGGCGAGGUAAUGGCUCACCAAGACGACGACGGGUAGCCGGCCUGAGAGGGCGACCGGCCACACUGGGACUGAGACACGGCCCAGACUCCUACGGGAGGCAGCAGUGGGGAAUAUUGCACAAUGGGGGAAACCCUGAUGCAGCGACGCAGCGUGCGGGAUGACGGCCUUCGGGUUGUAAACCGCUUUCAGCAGGGAAGAAGCCCUUCGGGGUGACGGUACCUGCAGAAGAAGUACCGGCUAACUACGUGCCAGCAGCCGCGGUAAUACGUAGGGUACAAGCGUUGUCCGGAAUUAUUGGGCGUAAAGAGCUCGUAGGUGGUUGGUCACGUCUGCUGUGGAAACGCAACGCUUAACGUUGCGCGUGCAGUGGGUACGGGCUGACUAGAGUGCAGUAGGGGAGUCUGGAAUUCCUGGUGUAGCGGUGAAAUGCGCAGAUAUCAGGAGGAACACCGGUGGCGAAGGCGGGACUCUGGGCUGUAACUGACACUGAGGAGCGAAAGCAUGGGGAGCGAACAGGAUUAGAUACCCUGGUAGUCCAUGCCGUAAACGUUGGGCACUAGGUGUGGGGGACAUUCCACGUUCUCCGCGCCGUAGCUAACGCAUUAAGUGCCCCGCCUGGGGAGUACGGUCGCAAGGCUAAAACUCAAAGGAAUUGACGGGGGCCCGCACAAGCGGCGGAGCAUGCGGAUUAAUUCGAUGCAACGCGAAGAACCUUACCAAGGCUUGACAUACACCAGACCGUUCUGGAAACAGUUCCUCCCCUUUGGGGUUGGUGUACAGGUGGUGCAUGGUUGUCGUCAGCUCGUGUCGUGAGAUGUUGGGUUAAGUCCCGCAACGAGCGCAACCCUCGUUCUAUGUUGCCAGCACGUAAUGGUGGGAACUCAUAGGAGACUGCCGGGGUCAACUCGGAGGAAGGUGGGGAUGACGUCAAAUCAUCAUGCCCUUUAUGUCUUGGGCUUCACGCAUGCUACAAUGGCUGGUACAGAGAGAUGCGAGACCGCGAGGUUUUAGCGAAUCCCUUAAAGCCAGUCUCAGUUCGGAUCGUAGUCUGCAAUUCGACUACGUGAAGUCGGAGUCGCUAGUAAUCGCAGAUCAG
rnacentral:rRNA from 1 species